ACUGAAUUUGUUUACUCUCCUCAGUUUGCAGAUGGGGAGGCAGAAGCACGUCAGUGAAGAGACUUGCCUGUUGUCAGCUGUGGUGAGGCAUUGAUCCAAGCAGUCCUGAUUUCCAGGCACCGCUUUAACCCGUCAGGGAUUGUGGGGCCUUCCUGAAGGUAAUGAAGAAAUGAAGCUUCACAGCCCCUGCAUAAUGUUGAGGAGAGUUCUCUCCAUUUUGUAGAUGGGUAAGUGAGACAAUAGAAUGGUUUCCAGAGUGCUUCAGGUCUGUGAUAUGAAGCCUAGGUCAGAUCUCUAAAUCUCUCCCAUGUUUCUUAAACAUGCAGCAGCUUUCCAGCCA
rnacentral:lncRNA from 1 species